rnacentral:rRNA from 1 species
UGCAGUCGACGGUAACAGGAAGAGCUUGCUGCUUUGCUGACGAGUGGCGGACGGGUGAGUAAUGUCUGGGAAACUGCCUGAUGGAGGGGGAUAACUACUGGAAACGGUAGCUAAUACCGCAUAACGUCGCAAGACCAAGGAGGGGGACCUUCGGGCCUCUUGCCAUCGGAUGUGCCCAGAUGGCAUUAUCUUGUUGGUGGGGUAACGGCUCACCAAGGCGACGAUCCCUAGCUGGUCUGACAGGAUGACCAGCCACUCUGGAACUGAGACACGGUCCAGACUCCUACGGGAGGCAGCAGUGGGGAAUAUUGCACAAUGGGCGCAAGCCUGAUGCACCCAUGCCGCGUGUAUGAAGAAGGCCUUCGGGUUGUAAAGUACUUUCAGCGGGGAGGAAGGGAGUAAAGUUAAUACCUUUGCUCAUUGACGUUACCCGCAGAAGAAGCACCGGCUAACUCCGUGCCAGCAGCCGCGGUAAUACGGAGGGUGCAAGCGUUAAUCGGAAUUACUGGGCGUAUAGCGCACGCAGGCGGUUUGUUAAGUCAGAUGUGAAAUCCCCGGGCUCAACCUGGGAACUGCAUCUGAUACUGGCAAGCUUGAGUCUCGUAGAGGGGGGGUAGAAUUCCAGGUGUAGCGUGGAAAUGCGUGAGAUCUGGAGGAAUACCGGUGGCGAAGGCGGCGCACCUGGACUAACACUGAUGCUCAUGUGCCGAGAGCGUGCGAGA